rnacentral:misc_RNA from 1 species
UCCAGGUUAUCCCUGGCGGUCUCCUGCGAGUUCCGUCUUUCGACAUGGCAACACAGGACAAGGGUUGCGCUCGUUGCGGGACUUAACCCAACAUCUCACGACACGAGCUGACGACAGCCAUGCAGCACCUGUGAUUCGGCCCUUGCGGGCGACGACAUUUCUGCCAGUCUUCCAAACCAUGUCAAAUCUAGGUAAGGUUCUUCGCGUUGCAUCGAAUUAAACCACAUGCUCCACCGCUUGUGCGGGCCCCCGUCAAUUUCUUUGAGUUUUAAUCUUGCGACCGUACUCCCCAGGCGGGACACUUAACGCGUUAGCUUCGGCACUGAAGGGGUCAAUACCUCCAACACCAAGUGUCCAUCGUUUAUGGCGUGGACUAC